rnacentral:miRNA from 1 species
UUCUGGGUUGUGGCGUCCGAGGAGC